AAUGGGGAGAGCGUAGAUGAAGGGAGCGUAGAUGAAGGGGGAGAUAUGAACAAAGGGGGAGAGCGUGGAUGAACAGGCAUUGAACUAGAGCAGAGGAUGAUAAGUUCAAGAACAAAGGGGGAGAAGGUAUAAGAAUUUAGUGCUAAUCAUUUUUUAAUGAAUUGUUUUGCAGGAAAUAAAGAUUUCAAGACUCCUAGUUGCAUCUAAGUCAUAGAGUCUGUUUUAGGAGUUUUGAUGUAAUUUUGAGUUUCAAAUUGUAUUUGGAUUACACGCGAGGGGUUCGAUGUUUUGGUGAUGACAUUGAACUUCGUUUUCUCUUUAAAUUGUAAUUUGUGAGUUUUUGUGUGUUUUGUCACGAAAUUGCCAAAGGGGGAG
rnacentral:lncRNA from 1 species